CCUACGGGAGGCAGCAGUGAGGAAUAUUGGUCAAUGGACGAGCGUCUGAACCAGCCAAGUAGCGUGAAGGAUGACUGCCCUAUGGGUUGUAAACUUCUUUUAUAAAGGAAUAAAACGAGGCACGUGUGCCUUUUUUCAUGUACUUUAUGAAUAAGGAUUGGCUAACUCCGUGCCCGCAGCCGCGGUAAUACGGAGGAUCCGCGCGUUAUCCGGAUUUUUUGGGUUUAAAGGGAGCGUAGAUGGGUUGUUAAGUCAGUUGGGAAAGUUUGCGGCUCAACCGUAAAAUUGCAAUUGAUACUGGCAGUCUUGAGUACAGUUGAGGUAGGCGGAAUGCGUGGUGUAGCGGUGAAAUGCAUAGAUAUCACGAAGAACCCCGAUUGCGAAGGCAGCUUACUAACCUGUGACUGACAUUGAUGCUCGAAAGUGUGGGUAUCAAACAGGAUUAGAUACCCGGGUAGUC
rnacentral:rRNA from 1 species